rnacentral:lncRNA from 1 species
AGGAGCACGCCCCUGUGUAACAAAGUUUGGCUGACUGAGCGCUCAUGGGCUAGGAUGCAGCUGCCAGCUCCUGAGGCUACGGGCAAGUAAGAUUGAUGAAGCAGGAAUAUUCUUCUGAGAAGCAAAGCAUGCUGGAGGAAUUCUGCAGGGCCAAGGCAGCAAGAUCAAGUAACCCUGGAUUAAGACAUCUGAAGCUGUUUCUUGAAGCAAUGGAGAACUUGAUUGACAGUAGCAUUUUACAGAAGCUCUGGUUAUCAAGAUGUCCAAGGGAAGACCAGCAAUGCACAGAGAGGACAAGGAAUAAGAAGCCGGUCUCUACAGGGGACAGAACCAAGAAGUGGAACGGCCAGGCCUCUGGAUCCAUCGAGUCCUGACACCAUCUCACUCUUCUGCUCUGAUGGUCCCUGCAGUGGCCAGUGUGAAGUUUGACAUGUGGUUGGUGACUCUGCCUUACUUCCCAGGCUCCAUCCUCCACCGGCCUGUCUCACAUGACAACCACAUGGCAGGUGGCCUUUUACAGUGCUUGAUGGUUCUCACACAACAGACAUCUAACGCGAACAAUGCCCAUUUGCGUGGCUGCUGUAAAGACCGAGCAAAGAAGGAAUGGACAGAUGCCUUUAGGAGAAUACUUA